AAGUGGAUUAGCGGCGGACGGGUGAGUAACACGUGAGUAACCUGCCUUAGACAUUGGGAUAGCCUCGGGAAACCGGGAUUAAUACCAAAUAAAAUCAUAAUGACACAUGUCAUAACGAUCAAAACUCCGGUGGUCUAAGAUGGACUCGCGUCCCGUUAGCUAGUUGGUAGAGUAAAAGCCUACCAAGGCGACGAUGGGUAGCCGGCCUGAGAGGGUGAACGGCCACAUUGGAACUGAGAAACGGUCCAA
rnacentral:rRNA from 1 species